rnacentral:tRNA from 1 species
GCAAGGGUUUGUGGAAAGGUAAGACCGCACAGGACUUAAAAUCCUGCGGUACGUGAGUACCGUACGGGUUCGACCCCCGUCCUCGGCA